GACAGAGGGGGCAAGCGUUGCUCGGAAUCACUGGGCGUAAAGGGCGCGUAGGCGGGAUGGCAAGUCGGUCGUGAAAUCUCUCGGCUCAACCGAGAAACGUCGGCCGAUACUGCCGUUCUUGAGGGAUGCAGAGGAGACUGGAAUUCGCGGUGUAGCGGUGAAAUGUGUAGAGAUCGGGAGGAACACCGGUGGCGAAGGCGGGUCUCUGGGCAUUUCCUGACGCUGAGGCGCGAAAGCGUGGGGAGCAAACGGG
rnacentral:rRNA from 1 species